GUACUCAUUUCAGCAGCACAUAUGCAACUAGAGCAACAAGGAGAAGAUCAGCAUGGCCCCUGAGCAAAGAUGACAUGCAUGCAUAUUUGUAGAGUGUUCCAUACAUUU